CAACCUCUGACGAAAAGCGUGUAAGUUG
rfam:Chryseobacterium soli strain DSM 19298 Contig01, whole genome shotgun sequence.